AAGAUCCUGCUGUUUCUACCAUCAGUUCUGAACAUUUAUUGUAAAGAUACUUUUAAACUCUAAUGGGAGAGACAGCAGGAUUCUCC
ensembl:miRNA